rnacentral:miRNA from 14 species
AAUACAAGACUCCCAGUGAAAUCUGAGUUUUAAAUAAACAACAAAAUUCACUAGUAUAAGUAUAUCCCCUGUAAUAUUUGGAACAUACUUAUACUAAAAAAUUUAUUUGUUGUUUAUCUGAAAUCCAAAUUUAGCUGGACAUCCUGUAUUUU